AUGAUUAUUGUAUAAAGUCUUAUGAAGUUUUGACUAAAAGGCAUGAUGCAUGGUUUUCUAUGAAAAAUGUCUUCUUUAAAUGCAUGUUUUUGCAUAGUUGUCAUACUUGAUAUUUAAAGGAUGUCUCUAAAGUGAAGGGCUUGAUAUGUGUUUACUAAGCUCAAGAAAUCGGUCUUUAUGAUUGAACUUUUCUGGCUUUGUCACAUCCUUUUUCCAAUGAACAAGCACCAGAGCAGUGAGCUUCGACCACCGAAUCUCCACAUAAAUCACCACUUCUCUCUUUCCCGUUGCAAACAACCCAGGACCACUAGACCUUAAAUCCUUUAACUGUUUUAAGCGAGCUUCACCCUUUUCUUCGGCGAAACCAACUCGUUCCCACUUUCCUUGUUCUGAUUUUCCGGCGAACUCCACUAUGCCAUACAACCAUCUAAACACUGCUUUGCCCACCUUUUCCAAAAUGAACACAACAAACAUGCCACUUCCCAACUUCCAUUUCCCUGCUACUGUCUUUUCCGGCGAAGCUACGAUUCCAGAGAAUCCAACCCCAAACCCAGCAGCUCAAACAAUCCCCAAAUACCUUAACCCCUUUAAUUUUCCCCCUCAAUUCACACAAGGAACACGAUUUCCCCCAAGUCGCUCAAGGUUUAUCAAUGCAUGUAUAUGUUGCCCAAUUCUUGAAGCUACUUGGAGAACUCUGGAUUUCAUGGCUAUUUCCAUAUGGCAUUACUGUUUCUUGAGGGUGCUUCACAUUUAGAAACCUCAAAUUGGGGAAGUAGCAAAUCUGGGGAGAGUAAUCUAAAACAAAUUUAUAGUAAGGCACCCAAACUUUGCAGAUGUUCUUAACUUCAAUAUCAAAAGCAUGAUGGAACUGCCAGUGUUGCUUUGUCCAAUAAAUGUAUGGAGGUUGCAUACAUGAGGGUAGUAAAUUGCAAAAGUAUGAAUAGUACGUUGAAAGAUCUUGAUUCUCAUAUGCCCCAAGGCUUUGUUUAGCUGCAGGGGUAGUACAUUGAAAGAUGUGUGGUAAGAUCUAGACACUAUCAAAGCAAUAGAUGACUUCUACAGUGAAGUAUAUGCUAUAAAUUCAAUAACUGAUCUCAAGUUUCCAGAGCAUUCUCUAGUUUCAAGACUUCAAUGUGACAGACUCCUUGCAACAUAAUUUUGUGUACUAAUUAAUUCCUUUCCUCUAUUUUUGAAUUAAAAUUACUUUGAUUGGAAUAAAAAGUUAGAUAAGAUUACUACACUUAAAGAUAUCUUAUUUACUUGAAUAGACCAUUGAAAUGUUUGAUCAAUAUCCUAAUUAGAAUCAUGCUCGUGGGGGUACAAACUUAAUGAAAGCUUAUUUUGUUGCUUGACAUGAUUGUAUCAAUUAAUUCCCCUUUUUAGAUUUACUCAUCAUUGGGGUGUCUGUAUGUGUACUUCAUUUCUGUCUUAGAAGUUUCUCUUUGAUAUUCAGUGCUAAUUUCCGUGUGAGAUAAUAUGGGAUUUUGCCUUUUCCUUUCCACAGUGGUAUUUAUUAAUCUAUACAGUAUCUAGUCACCAUCAUCAAAUGGAGUUGCAUGGCUCUUUCUUGCUUAUGUCAUACUAAGUUCUUCAACGAUAGCCGGAUAUAUCUGAAAUUUACAAACAUGUUCUUGUCUAGAUUUUCGGUUUCAUCUAAAAGAUAUCUAACUUUCUGCAUUUUGACUUAAGUUGUGAUCACUAUUAUGUUUUCUUCAACAUAGAGAUUUCUUUUUCUGAAUUGUCAUCCGCAAAAUCUUUGAAACUUUUAAGUUUGUACAGAUUGUGUUGAAGUAGUUGUAUGUGUCACCUUUGAUGAGCUAGUCAACUUGGAUCAGAUUCCCAAAGGGGUGGGUUUCAAAUGAAUCUUUGUUCCUAUCCAUUACCGUAGUUUAUUUCUCAAGUAUUUUAUUUUUGUUGUGUGAUAUCUAUUCUUAUUCUGUAAGGUACAUUUUUCUUACAGGUGAGACUAGAGGGACAAACAAAAUUUCGCUAGCAGCCACAUGUAUUUUAGUUUAUUUGGAAGUCAAUUAUUUGUUUCUUUUGUAUAAUCUUUAGCAAAAGAAUCAUUAUUUUCCUUCUAACUCGUGCAGAAACUUAUCGUAUCAUUUAGAAUUCGAGUGUUCCAUGGUGUUUAUAACAUGGAAAGAAACGUAUUAAAAUUUAGAAAUACUUGACUUAAUACAUUUCCAAUUGUAGCUGAUCCUUGUUUACAACUCAUUUUCCUAUCGCAUUAUUAAUUUACUUUUAACUUUUUUCGUUUUAAUUCGUGUUCUGGAUAUAUGAAGCUGCAACCCGAGGUAUUUCUCCAGUUGUUCCCCCACAUCCACUAAAAUUUACUCUUUCAGAUCCGUGGGAUCCUUUUUCAUUGAAGCCAAGAUCCCUUGUUUCCUCCCCAUGUAGCUCAAAAACAUCUAAGCUAAACAACCGAUCUGAAAAUUUUGUUGCUGCCAUAGCUGAUCUCGAGCUGCUGCAACUCAGUUUUCUAAGAAUGGCAAUCCCCCAUCCAAUACAGUCGAGGUAGGAGAUUAUUCAACGACAGGAAAUAAGUAUUGGAGGGCUGAAUCAUGAGCGAGUUGCUGGAAAAUCUUGGUGACAUAACUUCAUUGUGAGUUUACCAUCGUUUAUGAGUUGUAACAUAUAUGAGUCAGUGACAAGCGUGAGGUUAUUAAGGCUAUAUUUGAACUUCCACUGCAAAUUCAAGCAUGGUUUCUCAAACAGAAGAGCAUCUUGUAGUUGUGGAAACUCUGAUAAAUUCAGAAUGAUCGCAUAAGUGAAGUCUAUUUACUGAAGUGAACCAUGAAGACUUGUUAAACAAUUGUGAUAUUUUAAUAUGAUUUUGAGGGAAUUAAUUUUUAGUGCACAUCUUCAUAUAUUGGUUUAUUAGCGUGUGCAAUACUUGAAUCAUUUUGAUUUUGUGGAAUUCGUUUUUUUUUCUAGGGAACAUGUUUCUUUCCCAAAGUUUAUUGCAAA